CAGCUGUCUUCGCUUCGUCCAGACCAACAUCUCCCGCCUCCUGCAGGAGACCUCCGAGCAGCUGGUGGCGCUGAAGCCCUGGAUCACUCGCCAGAACUUCUCCCGGUGCCUGGAGCUGCAGUGUCAGCCCGGUGCCCCCCGUCCCCAGUCCCCAGGACCUGCUGCUUGUGGAGCACUGACCUGGCCAAGGCCUCAUCCUGCGGAGCCUUAAACAACGCAGUGAGACAGACAUCUAUCAUCCCAUUUUACAGGGGAGGAUACUGAGGCACACAGAGGGGAGUCACCAGCCAGAGGAUGCAUAGCCUGGACACAGAGGAAGUUGGCUAGAGGCCGGUCCCUUCCUUGGGCCCCUCUCAUUCCCUCCCCAGAAUGGAGGCAACGCCAGAAU
rnacentral:lncRNA from 1 species